rnacentral:rRNA from 1 species
GCCGUCCGCUCCCUUCGGGUUGUAGCUGGCCUUCCGAGGCAUGUGCACGCCCUGCUCAUCCACUCUACACCUGUGCACUUACUGUGGGUUUCAGGAGCUUCGAAAGCGAGAAAAGGGGCCUUCACGGGCUUUUUUCUUGCCUAGUUGUUACUGGGCCUACGUUUCACUACAAACACUUAUAAAGUAUCAGAAUGUGUAUUGCGAUGUAACGCAUCUAUAUACAACUUUCAGCAACGGAUCUCUUGGCUCUCGCAUCGAUGAAGAACGCAGCGAAAUGCGAUAAGUAAUGUGAAUUGCAGAAUUCAGUGAAUCAUCGAAUCUUUGAACGCACCUUGCGCUCCUUGGUAUUCCGAGGAGCAUGCCUGUUUGAGUGUCAUGAAAUUCUCAACCUAACGGGUUCUUAACGGGACUUGCUUUAGGCUUGGACUUGGAGGUUCUUGUCGGCUUGCUUCAAUGUCAAGUCGGCUCCUCUUAAAUGCAUUAGCUUGGUUCCUGUGCGGAUCGGCUCACGGUGUGAUAAUUGUCUACGCCGCGACCGUUGAAGCGUUUUUAUAGGCCAGCUUCUAGUCGUCUCUUUACGAGACAAUAAUCAUCGAACUCUGACCUCAAAUCAGGUAGGACUACCCGCUGAACUUAAGCAUAUCAUAGCCGGGAGGAAACAGACAGACUUGAUAGUGGGGCUUAGAGCCCCCCGCACCCUCUCACCUGUGCUUAGGGGUUUAGACCCAAAAGAAAAAAGGGUCCCGGCUUUUUUUUCUCCGGGUG